GCCCCUGGGGCCCUGGUUAUUGGGGGGAUACGUUCGGAAACGGACGCUAAUACCGCAUACGUCCUACGGGAGAAAGCAGGGGACCUUCGGGCCUUGCGCUAUCAGAUGAGCCUAGGUCGGAUAGCUAGUUGGUGAGGUAAUGGCUCACCAAGGCUACGAUCCGUAACUGGUCUGAGAGGAUGAUCAGUCACACUGGAACUGAGACACGGUCCAGACUCCUACGGGAGGCAGCAGUGGGGAAUAUUGGACAAUGGGCGAAAGCCUGAUCCAGCCAUGCCGCGUGUGUGAAGAAGGUCUUCGGAUUGUAAAGCACUUUAAGUUGGGAGGAAGGGCAUUAACCUAAUACGUUAGUGUUUUGACGUUACCGACAGAAUAAGCACCGGCUAACUCUGUGCCAGCAGCCGCGGUAAUACAGAGGGUGCAAGCGUUAAUCGGAAUUACUGGGCGUAAAGCGCGCGUAGGUGGUUUGUUAAGUUGAAUGUGAAAUCCCCGGGCUCAACCUGGGAACUGCAUCCAAAACUGGCAAGCUAGAGUAUGGUAGAGGGUAAUGGAAUUUUCCUGUGUAGCGGUGAAAUGCGUAGAUAUAGGAAGGAACCACCAGUGGCGAAGGCGACUACCUGAACUGAUACUGACACUGAGGUGCUAAAACCGUGCGGAGCAAACGGGAUAAAAAUACCC
rnacentral:rRNA from 1 species